UGAGUAACCUGCCUUCAGCUUUGGGAUAACCCUCGGAAACGGGGGCUAAUACCGGGUAUUCACUUCUGGUGGCAUCACUGGUGGUGGAAAGUUUUUCGGCUGGGGAUGGGCUCGCGGCCUAUCAGCUUGUUGGUGGGGUAAUGGCCUACCAAGGCGGCGACGGGUAGCCGGCCUGAGAGGGCGACCGGCCACACUGGGACUGAGACACGGCCCAGACUCCUACGGGAGGCA
rnacentral:rRNA from 1 species